rnacentral:lncRNA from 10 species
AAGGAUACCCAAAGCCAAGAAAUGCAAGAAACAACCGAGGAAUCAGAAAGGCUACACCUGCCCUGUGAAGUCUCGGAUUUGACGAACAUCCUACCGAAGAGAGAAAGGGGAAAAAGGCAGUGAGGUGUAAGGAAAGAAACAGAGGCGCGAUCUUCGUGUCACAGGGGCGUGCUCCGGCGCGCACCCGAGAAGACCAGCUCCGAAUGGCGCGGAGCAGGAAGGCGAAGGAAGAAACCCAGGCAGUGCUAACCAAGGUAAAUACUGGAACAUUCAUAAUCAGAAGUUGUUAUUUUUUAAAAUGCCAGCCUUCUGGAGAAUGCCUUUUCUUUUGUAGUCUCUGUCAAACAUUGGAAGGAAAUUUCAGUUCAGAGAUGUCUGAAGUGGGACUCAGUGGUCAGCAGAAACCUGAUGACAGCAGAGUGGUCCAGCUUGUUUCUCCUGGGGGCGUUCUUCCGAGGAUAUUUGGGCUGCCUCCAGAAUCGCAGUGUCUUGGGCCGCCGCAAGGAUGACAACGAAGCAAGAAGGCCCCUGCCAAAUGCAGGUCCCCAGGUCUUAGACUUCUCAGCCUCCAGAACUAUAAGAAAUAAAUCUCUGUUCUCUAUAAAUUACC